GGGGCUGUGGGGUAGCUUGGCCUAGCCUCUUGCCCUCGGGCGGCAAGGACCCCGGUUCAAAUCCGGGCAGCCCCA
rnacentral:tRNA from 1 species